UGAACGGCCCUUUUCAGGGCCACCAUAUUUUUGCAAAUGGAGCUGU
rfam:Ixodes scapularis strain Wikel colony gcontig_1108378228872, whole genome shotgun sequence.